CAGGACCUCGCACUCACCAGGCAGUACUGGCCAUUCUCUUCUACGGAAAGUAGCUAAGAUAUAUUUCUGCCACCUGUAAGUCAGAAUGACAAAAUUCUUGACAGUGAUAUCACUCAGUCCAACGGAUCUGACGCACUGAAGGCUGGACAUUGGCAGAUAUCAUCUAUGAUGAAAAAGCCUCCCUUGCGAGACGAGAAUCUUCACCAUCUGAAUCAUGAGUGCCGGUGCCCGUCGUCAGUCCCUUCUCUCUCCGUUACUGGACCUGGAUCUGGAUCUCGAUCUGGACACUCAUUACCAGCUUGUGCAUCUCACUGCUGAUAUCAUGAUGCUACUUAACUAUCUUCGCAGCACCCGCUCUAGGAAUGGAGAUCCGGGGUUCCCCCCUCUUCUUCGAUACAGAAUCUGCCUACAGCAUCUACAGCAAUCUACAGCAAAUAUGCUGUCUGAAAGAACCCGUUAAUAUCAAGGGCAACAAGUGCUGAGAUUGUGACGGUGAUGAAAA